rnacentral:rRNA from 1 species
CCUACGGGCGGCAGCAGUGGGGAAUAUUGGACAAUGGGGGGAACCCUGAUCCAGCCAUGCCGCGUGUGUGAAGAAGGCCCUCGGGUUGUAAAGCACUUUCAGUGAGGAAGAACGCCUGGUGGUUAAUACCCAUCAGGAAAGACAUCACUCACAGAAGAAGCACCGGCUAACUCCGUGCCAGCAGCCGCGGUAAUACGGAGGGUGCGAGCGUUAAUCGGAAUUACUGGGCGUAAAGCGCGCGUAGGUGGCUUGAUAAGCCGGUUGUGAAAGCCCCGGGCUCAACCUGGGAACGGCAUCCGGAACUGUCAAGCUAGAGUGCCGGAGAGGAAGGUAGAAUUCCCGGUGUAGCGGUGAAAUGCGUAGAGAUCGGGAGGAAUACCAGUGGCGAAGGCGGCCUUCUGGACUGACACUGACACUGAGGUGCGAAAGCGUGGGUAGCAAACAGGAUUAGAUACCCCAGUAGUC